UCCUGGCUCAGGAUGAACGCUAGCGGCAGGCUAACACAUGCAAGUCGAGGGGCAUCGGGAGUAGCAAUACUUGCCGGCGACCGGCGCAAGGGUGCGUAACGCGUGAGCAACAUGCCCGUAUCAGGGGGAUAAUCCAUGGAAACGUGGUCUAAUACCCCAUAGUAAUUAUGUAAGGCAUCUUAUAUAAUUUAAAGCUUUGGUGGAUACGGAUUGGCUCGCGUGACAUUAGCUGGAUGGUAAGGUAACGGCUUACCAUGGCUACGAUGUCUAGGGGUUCUGAGAGGAAGGUCCCCCACACUGGAACUGAGACACGGUCCAGACUCCUACGGGAGGCAGCAGUGAGGAAUAUUGGACAAUGGAUGGAAAUCUGAUCCAGCCAUGCCGCGUGCAAGGAAGACGGCCCUAUGGGUUGUAAACUGCUUUUGUAUGGGAGCAAUAAGGGCUACGCGUAGUCCGAUGAGAGUACCAUACGAAUAAGCACCGGCUAACUCCGUGCCAGCAGCCGC
rnacentral:rRNA from 1 species